AAUGAACGCUGGCGGCAUGCCUUACACAUGCAAGUCGAACGGCAGCAUGACCUAGCUUGCUAGGUUGAUGGCGAGUGGCGAACGGGUGAGUAAUGCAUCGGAACGUGCCUUUUAGUGGGGGAUAACGUAGCGAAAGUUACGCUAAUACCGCAUAUUCUCUGAGGAGGAAAGCAGGGGACCUUCGGGCCUUGCGCUAGAAGAGCGGCCGAUGUCGGAUUGGCUAGUUGGUGAGGUAAAGGCUCACCAAGGCAACGAUCCGUAGCGGGUCUGAGAGGAUGAUCCGCCACACUGGAACUGAGACACGGCCCAGACUCCUACGGGAGGCAGCAGUGGGGAAUUUUGGACAAUGGGCGCAAGCCUGAUCCAGCCAUGCCGCGUGAGUGAAGAAGGCCUUCGGGUUGUAAAGCUCUUUCGGCUGGGAAGAAAUCGCACCCUCUAAUACAGGGUGUGGAUGACGGUACCAGCAUAAGAAGCACCGGCUAACUACGUG
rnacentral:rRNA from 1 species